CGAGGACGAACGCUGGCGGCGUGCCUAAUACAUGCAAGUCGAACGGUCUUUUCUAUGGAAGCUUGCUUCCACUGAGAAGAUAGUGGCGAACGGGUGAGUAACACGUGGGUAACCUGCCCAUAAGAGGGGGAUAACAUCCGGAAACGGGUGCUAAUACCGCAUAGUUUUCUUGAUCGCAUGAUCGGGAAAGGAAAGACGGCCUUUGUGCUGUCGCUUAUGGAUGGACCCGCGGCGUAUUAGUUAGUUGGUGAGGUAACGGCUCACCAAGACGAUGAUACGUAGCCGACCUGAGAGGGUGAUCGGCCACAUUGGGACUGAGACACGGCCCAAACUCCUACGGGAGGCAGCAGUAGGGAAUCUUCCGCAAUGGACGAAAGUCUGACGGAGCAACGCCGCGUGAGUGAAAGAAGGUUUUCGGAUCGUAAAACUCUGUUGUCAGAGAAGAACAAGUUGGAGAGUAACUGCUCCAGCCUUGACGGUAUCUGACCAGAAAGCCACGGCUAACUACGUGCCAGCCGCCGC
rnacentral:rRNA from 1 species